CGACAGCUGACGAGAGCCAUGUGUGACUGCUUCAUAUGGGCUAAAGGUCAACACUGAGGGAAUGAAAGAGCUAUCAGAGGUGCUUUGGACCAUGGUGAUGCGAGUAGGGCUAUGAAUGGACACUACUCUCGGGGUUUUAUUCCUGGUGCCUGUGUUUGGCCUGUUUGCUGUUCUCACUGUGUCCAUUCUUUUGGUAAUGGAGGGUCUGUCUGCAUUCCUUCAUGCCCUCCGGCUGCACUGGGUGGAGUUUCAGAAUAAAUUCUACAGUGGGACUGGAGUCAAGUUCAUCUUAAACGACUCCAUGUUCCUUUUGAGAAUAUCAC